rnacentral:rRNA from 1 species
GACGAACGCUGGCGGCGUGCCUAAUACAUGCAAGUAGAACGCACAGUUUAUACCGUAGCUUGCUACACCAUAGACUGUGAGUUGCGAACGGGUGAGUAACGCGUAGGUAACCUGCCUGGUAGCGGGGGAUAACUAUUGGAAACGAUAGCUAAUACCGCAUAAUAUUAAUUAUUGCAUGAUAAUUAAUUGAAAGGUGCAAUUGCACCACUACCAGAUGGACCUGCGUUGUAUUUGCUAGUAGGUGAGGUAACGGCUCACCUAGGCGACGAUACAUAGCCGACCUGAGAGCGUGAUCGGCCACACUGGGACUGAGACACGGCCCAGACUCCUACGGGAGGCAGCAGUAGGGAAUCUUCGGCAAUGGACGAAAGUCUGACCGAGCAACGCCGCGUGAGUGAAGAAGGUUUUCGGAUCGUAAAGCUCUGUUGUAAGAGAAGAACGGGUGUGAGAGUGGAAAGUUCACACUGUGACGGUAUCUUACCAGAAAGGGACGGCUAACUACGUG